ensembl:lncRNA
UAUGAAGGAAGGAGGAUUGCUGGACUGAACGCCAGAAGGAAUAUGGAUUUCUGGGCUCAAAGCCAAAAGGCAAGGUCCUUGCUGGGCCAAAAGGAAAAAAGAAGGGUUUUCUGCUCCCAAACACAGCAGGAAAAUAGCAUGUAAGGUCUUAUGCAGAAGAAAGGAGGAGUGCUGGGGAACAAACCAGAAGGAAGGGAUCUUGCUGCACUGAAACCCAGAAAGACAGGGACUUUCUGGGGAGAAACUCGGAAGGAAGAGGACUUGCGGGAAAAAAAAGGCAGAAAGAUUUAGGCAUCCUGUGCCAAAACCCUGAAGGAAGGGAGGUUGCUCAUCUGUACCCAGAAAGACGUGGGAGUGCUGGACCACAGAACAAAAAGAAGGGGCUUUUCUGGACUGAAACUCAGAAGGAAGGUGAUUGCUGGUCAGAAUUGCAAAUGGAAAGGGUUGCUUCUUGGGCCAAACCCAAAAAGGAAGAAAGCUGGCUGGUCACAAAGGCAGAAGGAAUGGCCCUCUUCUCCGCAAAUCAAGUAAUAGCAGGUGCUUGCAUAUCAAUACACAGAAGAAAGAAGGCGUCCUGGGCCAGAAACCAAAAAUAAGGGCCUUGCUGGACUGAUACCCAGAAGAAAGGUGGCUUCCUGGGCAGAAACAAAGAAGGAAGGUGGCAGGGUGGGCAGACAGCCAGAAGGAACGGGGCUUCCUAGGCCAAAACGGAGAAGGAAAGGGGCUUGCUGGGCAGAAAUCCAUAAAGCAGAGUUCUUGCUGGGCAGAAACCAAGAAGGAAGCGGGUUCACUGGGAAGAAACCCGGAUCGAAGAGGUCUUGCUGGGCCCAAAGCCAGAAAAAAUUGGACUUGCUAUGCUGAAAGGGUGAAGAAAAGGAGUUUGAAUUGCCAAACGUCAGAAGGAAUGUGGCUUUGUGGGCCCAAAGCCAUAAGGAAAGGUCCCUGUUGGGACAAAAUGAAUAAAGAAUGGGUUUUCUGCUCCCACACCCAGAAGGAAGAGGGCUUGUAAGGCCAUACCCAGAAGAGAGGGGGAGUGCUGGACAACAAACCAUAGGGAAGGAGUCUUGCGGGACUGAAAACCCUGAAAAAGGGGACUUUCUGGAGCGAAAUUCAGAAGGAAAGGGGUUUGCAGGGAAAAAAGCAGGAAGAAAGGGGCAUCCUGUGUCGAAACCCAGAAGGAAGGGGUCUUACUGGACUGAAACCCAGAUGCAAAGGAAACUGGCUUGCUGGGAAAAAAGGCAGGAAGAUAGGGUCAUCCUGUGCGGAAACCCAGAAGGAAGUGGGCUUGCUGGUCCAUACCCAGAAAGAAGUGUGAGUGCUGGACAACAAAGCAUAAAGAAGGGGUUUUGCUGGACUGAAACGCAGAAGUAAGGGGUCUUGCUGGGCAGAAAAUCUGAGGAAAGAGAGAUUUCUGGGCCAAAACACAGAAGGAAGGGGCCUUCCUGUUGAAGGUUAUUUGUGGUCAGAAAUGUAAAUGGAAGUGGUUGAUUGCUGGGCCAAACCCAAGAGGGAAGACGGCUUGCUGGACUUAAAGGCAGAAGGAAUGGGCUUUCCAGUGCCCAAACCCAGUAAGAAAGCAGGCCUGUAGCUCCAUAUCCAGAAACAAUUGGGAGUGCUUUGCCACAAAGCAAAGGAAGUGGUCUAGCUGGACUUAAACGCAGGAGAAAGUCAACAUGCUGGGCAGAAGUCCACAAGCAAAGGCACUGCUGGACAGAAACCAAGAAGGAAUAGAUCUUGCUGGACUGAAACUCAGAUGGAAGGGUACUGGCUAGGAAAAAAGGCAAGAAGAAAUGGGCAUAAUGUGCCAAAACCCAGAAUGAAGGGGUCUUGUGGGUUCAUAUCCAGAAAAAAUCAGGUGUGCUGGGCCACAAAGCAAAAAGAAGGGGUCUUGUUGAACUGAAACGCAGAAAGAAGUGGAUAUGCUUGGCAGGAAUCUGCAAGCAAUUGACAUUGCUAGACAGAAACCAAAAGUAAUGGGUCUCGCUGCAAAGAAACCCGGAAGGAAGGGGACUUUCUAGGGCUAAACUCAGAUGGAAGAGCGUCUGCUGUGAAAAAAGGCAGGAAGAAAUGGGCAUCCUGUGUCUAAACUCCAUAUGGAAUGGUGCUUGCUGAUCUGUACCCAGAAGGAAGCAGGAGUGAGGGAGCACAAAGCAUAAAGGAGGCGUUUUGCUGGACUGAAAUGCAGAAGGAAGGG